GACGAACGCUGGCGGCGUGCUUAACACAUGCAAGUCGAACGGAAAGGCCCUGCUUUUGUGGGGUGCUCGAGUGGCGAACGGGUGAGUAACACGUGAGUAACCUGCCCUUGACUUUGGUAUAACUUCAGGAAACUGGGGCUAAUACCUGAUAGGAUCUCCUGCUUCAUGGUGGGGGUUGGAUAGUUUCGGCGGUUGGGGAUGGACUCGCGGCUUAUCAGCUUGUUUGUUGGGUAGUGGCUUACCAAGGCUUUGACGGGUAGCCGGCCUGUGAGGGUUACCGGCGACAAUGGGACUGAGAUACGGCCCAGACUACUACGGGAGGCAGCAGUGGGGAAUAUUGCACAAUGGGCGGAAGCCUGAUGCAGCAACGAAGCGUGCGGGAUGACGGCCUUCGGGUUGUAAACCGCUUUCGACUGUGACGAAGAGUGAGUGACGGUAAUGGGUAAAGAAGCACCGGCUAACUACGUG
rnacentral:rRNA from 1 species